rnacentral:rRNA from 1 species
GACGAACGCUGGCGGCGUGCUUAACACAUGCAAGUCGAACGCUGAAGCUCAGCUUUUGUUGGGUGGAUGAGUGGCGAACGGGUGAGUAACACGUGAGUAACCUGCCUCCUUCUUUGGGAUAACGCCCGGAAACGGGUGCUAAUACUGGAUAUUCACUGGUCUUCGCAUGGGGGUUGGUGGAAAGGGUUUUUCUGGUGGGGGAUGGGCUCGCGGCCUAUCAGCUUGUUGGUGGGGUGAUGGCCUACCAAGGCUUUGACGGGUAGCCGGCCUGAGAGGGUGACCGGUCACAUUGGGACUGAGAUACGGCCCAGACUCCGACGGGAGGCAGCAGUGGGGAAUAUUGCACAAUGGGCGCAAGCCUGAUGCAGCGACGCCGCGUGAGGGAUGGAGGCCUUCGGGUUGUGAACCUCUUUCGCUCAUGGUCAAGCCGCAACAAUGGUUGUGGUGAGGGUAGUGGGUAAAGAAGCGCCGGCUAACUACGU